GACGAACGCUGGCGGCGUGCCUAAUACAUGCAAGUAGAACGCUGAAGGAGGAGCUUGCUUCUCUGGAUGAGUUGCGAACGGGUGAGUAACGCGUAGGUAACCUGCCUGGUAGCGGGGGAUAACUAUUGGAAACGAUAGCUAAUACCGCAUAAGAGUAGAUGUUGCAUGACAUUUGCUUAAAAGGUGCAAUUGCAUCACUACCAGAUGGACCUGCGUUGUAUUAGCUAGUUGGUGGGGUAACGGCUUACCAAGGCGACGAUACAUAGCCGACCUGAGAGGGUGAUCGGCCACACUGGGACUGAGACACGGCCCAGACUCCUACGGGAGGCAGCAGUAGGGAAUCUUCGGCAAUGGACGGAAGUCUGACCGAGCAACGCCGCGUGAGUGAAGAAGGUUUUCGGAUCGUAAAGCUCGGUUGUAAGAGAAGAACGAGUGUGAGAGUGGAAAGUUCACACUGUGACGGUAGCUGACCAGAAAGGGACGGCUAACUACGUG
rnacentral:rRNA from 1 species